CCUACGGGUGGCAGCAGUGAGGAAUAUUGGUCAAUGGACGAGAGUCUGAACCAGCCAAGUAGCGUGAAGGAUGACUCCCCUAUGGGUUGUAAACUUCUUUUAUAUGGGAAUAAAAUGUUCCACGUGUGGGAUUUUGUAUGUACCAUAUGAAUAAGGAUCGGCUAACUCCGUGCCAGCAGCCGCGGUAAUACGGAGGAUCCGAGCGUUAUCCGGAUUUAUUGGGUUUAAAGGGAGCGUAGGUGGAUUGUUAAGUCAGUUGUGAAAGUUUGCGGCUCAACCGUAAAAUUGCAGUUGAAACUGGCAGUCGUGAGUACAGUAGAGGUGGGCGGAAUUCGUGGUGUAGCGGUGAAAUGCUUAGAUAUCACGAAGAACUCCGAUUGCGAAGGCAGCUCACUGGACUGCAACUGACACUGAGGCUCGAAAGUGUGGGUAUCAAACAGGAUUAGAUACCCCUGUAGUA
rnacentral:rRNA from 1 species